rnacentral:rRNA from 1 species
UACAGAGGGUGCAAGCGUUGUUCGGAAUUAUUGGGCGUAAAGGGCGCGUAGGCGGUGCGGUAAGUCUGUAGUGAAAUCUCUGGGCUCAACUCAGAGUCUGCUAUAGAAACUGCCGUGCUUGAGUGUGGGAGAGGUGAGUGGAAUUCCCGGUGUAGCGGUGAAAUGCGUAGAGAUCCGGAGGAACACCGACGGCGUAGGCAGCGCCCUAGACGAGACCUGACGCUCAGGCACGAAAGCGCGGGGAGCGAACAGG